UACGGAGGGUGCAAGCGUUAUCCGGAUUCACUGGGUUUAAAGGGUGCGUAGGAGGGCAGGUAAGUCAGUGGUGAAAUCUCCAAGCUUAACUUGGAAACUGCCGUUGAUACUAUCUGUCUUGAAUAUUGUGGAGGUGAGCGGAAUAUGUCAUGUAGCGGUGAAAUGCUUAGAUAUGACAUAGAACACCAAUUGCGAAGGCAGCUCGCUACACAUAUAUUGACUCUGAGGCACGAAAGCGUGGGGAUCAAACAGG
rnacentral:rRNA from 2 species